AUGCACGCUGGCGGCGUGCCUAAUACAUGCAAGUCGAGCGAACAGACGAGGAGCUUGCUCCUCUGACGUUAGCGGCGGACGGGUGAGUAACACGUGGAUAACCUACCUAUAAGACUGGGAUAACUUCGGGAAACCGGAGCUAAUACCGGAUAAUAUAUUGAACCGCAUGGUUCAAUAGUGAAAGACGGUUUUGCUGUCACUUAUAGAUGGAUCCGCGCCGCAUUAGCUAGUUGGUAAGGUAACGGCUUACCAAGGCAACGAUGCGUAGCCGACCUGAGAGGGUGAUCGGCCACACUGGAACUGAGGCACGGUCCAGACUCCUACGGGAGGCAGCAGUAGGGAAUCUUCCGCAAAGGGCGAAAGCCUGACGGAGCAACGCCGCGUGAGUGAUGAAGGUCUUCGGAUCGUAAAACUCUGUUAUUAGGGAAGAACAAAUGUGUAAGUAACUAUGCACGUCUUGACGGUACCUAAUCAGAAAGCCACGGCUAACUACGUG
rnacentral:rRNA from 1 species